GAUGAACGCUGGCGGCGUGCCUAAUACAUGCAAGUCGAUCGCAUAGCGAAAGGUGCUUGCACCUUUCAAGUGAGUGGCGAACGGGUGAGUAACACGUGGACAACCUGCCUCAAGGCUGGGGAUAACAUUUGGAAACAGAUGCUAAUACCGAAUAAAACUUAGUGUCGCAUGACACAAAGUUAAAAGGCGCUUCGGCGUCACCUAGAGAUGGAUCCGCGGUGCAUUAGUUAGUUGGUGGGGUAAAGGCCUACCAAGACAAUGAUGCAUAGCCGAGUUGAGAGACUGAUCGGCCACAUUGGGACUGAGCCACGGCCCAAACUCCUACGGGAGGCUGCAGUAGGGAAUCUUCCACAAUGGGCGAAAGCCUGAUGGAGCAACGCCGCGUGUGUGAUGAAGGCUUUCGGGUCGUAAAGCACUGUUGUAUGGGAAGAACAGCUAGAAUAGGAAAUGAUUUUAGUUUGACGGUACCAUACCAGAAAGGGACGGCUAAAUACGUG
rnacentral:rRNA from 1 species